UACGUAGGGGGCAAGCGUUGUCCGGAUUUAUUGGGCGUAAAGAGCGUGUAGGCGGCCUGACAGGUCUGCUGUGAAAACUCGAGGCUCAACCUCGAGAUGUCGGCGGAAACCGUCUGGCUAGAGUCCGGAAGAGGAGAGUGGAAUUCCUGGUGUAGCGGUGAAAUGCGCAGAUAUCAGGAGGAACACCGGUGGCGAAGGCGGGUCUCUGGGCCGAUACUGACGCUGAGACGCGAAAGCGUGGGGAGCGAACAGG
rnacentral:rRNA from 1 species